rnacentral:rRNA from 1 species
UACGUAGGGGGCUAGCGUUGUCCGGAAUCAUUGGGCGUAAAGAGCGUGUAGGCGGUCCGGUAAGUCCGCUGUGAAAGUCGGGGGGCUCAACCCUCGAAUGCCGGUGGAUACUGUCGGGCUAGAGUGCGGAAGAGGCGAGUGGAAUUCCUGGUGUAGCGGUGAAAUGCGCAGAUAUCAGGAGGAACACCUAUUGCGAAGGCAGCUCGCUGGGACGUAACUGACGCUGAGACGCGAAAAGCGUGGGGGAGCAAACAGG